rnacentral:rRNA from 1 species
UGACGUAGGGUGCAAGCGUUGUCCGGAAUUAUUGGGCGUAAAGAGCUCGUAGGCGGUUUGUCGCGUCUGCUGUGAAAACUGGGGGCUCAACCCCCCAGCCUGCAGUGGGUACGGGCAGACUAGAGUGCGGUAGGGGAGAUUGGAAUUCCUGGUGUAGCGGUGGAAUGCGCAGAUAUCAGGAGGAACACCGAUGGCGAAGGCAGAUCUCUGGGCCGUAACUGACGCUGAGGAGCGAAAGCAUGGGGAGCGAACAGG